rnacentral:rRNA from 1 species
UCGGGAAUUUUGGGCAAUGGGCGAAAGCCUGACCCAGCAACGCCGCGUGAAGGAUGAAGUAUUUCGGUAUGUAAACUUCGAAAGAAUAGGAAGAAUAAAUGACGGUACUAUUUAUAAGGUCCGGCUAACUACGUGCCAGCAGCCGCGGUAAUACGUAGGGACCAAGCGUUGUUCGGAUUUACUGGGCGUAAAGGGCGCGUAGGCGGCAAUUCAAGUCAUCUGUGAAAUCUCCGGGCUUAACUCGGAACGGUCAGAUGAUACUGCUUUGCUAGAGUGCAGAAGGGGCAAUCGGAAUUCUUGGUGUAGCGGUGAAAUGCGUAGAUAUCAAGAGGAACACCUGAGGUGAAGACGGGUUGCUGGGCUGACACUGACGCUGAGGCGCGAAAGCCAGGGGAGCAAACGGGAUUAGAUACCCGCGUAGUCCCUGAGCGGGCUGGCAAGGCG